rnacentral:rRNA from 1 species
UCAGAAUUGAAAGUAUAAUAUAAUAACAACUUUUAACAAUGGAUCUCUUGGUUCUCGCAUCGAUGAAGAACGUAGCAAAGUGCGAUAACUAGUGUGAAUUGCAUAUUCGUGAAUCAU